GGAGGAGAGAUCGGCCCUGACCUGCGAUGAUGCACAAAGGCGCUGGUCAGCCCGCGAUCGAUAUCUGCUUUGCAAGCAGGGGGUCGUGGGUUCGAGUCCCAUCGUCUCCA
rnacentral:tRNA from 1 species